AACGAACGCUGGCGGCAGGCCUAACACAUGCAAGUCGAGCGCCCUUUCGGGGGAGCGGCGGACGGGUGAGUACCGCGUGGGAAUAUGCCCUUCUCUACGGAAUAGCCUCGGGAAACUGAGAGUAAUACCGUAUACGCCCUUUGGGGGAAAGAUUUAUCGGGGAAGGAUUAGCCCGCGUUGGAUUAGGUAGUUGGUGGGGUAAUGGCCUACCAAGCCGACGAUCCAUAGCUGGUUUGAGAGGAUGAUCAGCCACACUGGGACUGAGACACGGCCCAGACUCCUACGGGAGGCAGCAGUGGGGAGUCUUAGACAAUGGGGGCAACCCUGAUCGAGCCAUGCCGCGUGAGUGAUGAAGGCCUUAGGGUUGUAAAGCUCUUUCAGCUGGGAAGAUAAUGACGGUACCAGCAGAAGAAGCCCCGGCUAACUCCGUG
rnacentral:rRNA from 1 species